rnacentral:rRNA from 1 species
UACGUAGGGUGCGAGCGUUGUCCGGAAUUAUUGGGCGUAAAGAGCUCGUAGGCGGUGUGUCACGUCGGCCGUGAAAACCUGCAGCUUAACUGUGGGCGUGCGGUCGAUACGGGCAGACUGGAGGUAUGCAGGGGAGAACGGAAUUCCUGGUGUAGCGGUGAAAUGCGCAGAUAUCAGGAGGAACACCGGUGGCGAAGGCGGUUCUCUGGGCAUGACCUGACGCUGAGGAGCGAAAGUGUGGGGAGCGAACAGG